GCUCGCCGGAAGACCAAGGGUUCCUGUCCAACGUUAAUCGGGGCAGGGUGAGUCGACCCCUAAGGCGAGGCCGAAAGGCGUAGUCGAUGGGAAACAGGUUAAUAUUCCUGUACUUGGUGUUACUGCGAAGGGGGGACGGAGAAGGCUAUGUUGGCCGGGCGACGGUUGUCCCGGUUUAAGCGUGUAGGCUGGUUUUCCAGGCAAAUCCGGAAAACUAAGGCUGAGGCGUGAUGACGAGGCACUACGGUGCUGAAGCAACAAAUGCCCUGCUUCCAGGAAAAGCCUCUAAGCAUCAGGUAACAUCAAAUCGUACCCCAAACCGACACAGGUGGUCAGGUAGAGAAUACCAAGGCGCUUGAGAGAACUCGGGUGAAGGAACUAGGCAAAAUGGUGCCGUAACUUCGGGAGAAGGCACGCUGAUAUGUAGGUGAAGUCCCUCGCGGAUGGAGCUGAAAUCAGUCGAAGAUACCAGCUGGCUGCAACUGUUUAUUAAAAACACAGCACUGUGCAAACACGAAAGUGGACGUAUACGGUGUGACGCCUGCCCGGUGCCGGAAGGUUAAUUGAUGGGGU
rnacentral:rRNA from 1 species